CCUCUCCAUCCCNGUGUGCCUUGCUCCCAGACUANAUGCCCAAAGASCUAUCGAUUUGCACGUCGAAACCUCGCGGCGGGCGUAUCGAAGGAAACGAAGCUCUUUGGGCAUAUCGUAGAGCGUGGCGGUGCAUACCCGAUAGACGGUGAUCUAUUCUAGAGCGGGCGGAAGCCGGAGGAAACUCCGGUGGACGGCCUGAGCGAUUCUGACGUGCAAAUCGAUCGCGAGACUCGAGUAUAGGGGCGAAAGACUAAUCGAACAGUCGGUAGCUGGUUCCGGCACGAAAUAUCCCUCAGGAUAGCAGACGGCGGCCCUCGACUGGGCGGGCAGUAGCGCGCUGUAGAGCUCAUGACUAGAGGCACUCUGCUCGGCGUUCUUCGGGGGUCCUCCGUGGCCCUCGACCUAAUCUCAAACUCUGAACGCGCGCGCUCCACCCGGCCGCCUCCAGGGCCGGGUAGCUAUACGCUGCACAAAACCCAUUGGCAUGCUGACGCCGUCUAGUGGGCCCUUUUUGGUAAGCAGAACUGGCGAUGCGGGACGAACCAGACGCACGUCACGCGGCCGCCUCUCGAAAGCGCGGCCGCAAUACCUCCGGUGGCAGAUCCUCGCGGCCAACAAGAGACCGCUAAAGGGCGUCAAUCAGUCCAGACAGCAAGUCGGUGGCCACGGAAGUCGGCACCCGCUAAGGACCGUGUAACAACCCACUUGCCGAACUGAUGGGCCCCGAAAAUGGAUGCCGCUGCGUCGCGUACCUCUUGACGUGCCGCCGCCGCGCGAUCCUCGGCGAAUGGAUGCGGCGGCGAGUAGGCCGGUGAGACGGUGGAUGUGAAGUGCACAGGUCGCAGGACCGCAUGGAUCCUGCGUCUGCAAUGAUCUCGGUGUGAGUAGCGAGUAUUUCGAUGAACGAAGCUGUACAGCUCUGAGCCUAUGACUCGAAAGGCAGACGUGGUAGAAGGGUUUCGCGGUACACAGCGCUUGUACGCGAGUUAGUCGUUCCUAAGCGACAGGCCAGCGCCUUCACAGGCCGCCUCGUCUUAACCAGCGAGGACUGUACGCGAAUGGGAAGCCGGUUGACGUUCCGGCGCCUGGAUUCCGAGCACGGCCUCUCGGGGCCUAAGGAGGCGGUAACGCCGUUCCGGCCACAGGAGACGUCGCCGCUGUGCGCACGCGGAAGCCACACUGCUUACGCUGCAGGCAGGUUGUUUUCCGUUGAGGGUCCGUCCACGGACGCCGCCGUAAUCGCAUAAUGCGGCGAAGCGGCAUUGCCGGACGGGCCGCAUAGAGCGUUCAUCAUGUGUACCGACGCUCCUAUGAUAGCUGCACGCCGCGACCCGUGAAAAUCCUGUGGCCGCCGAUACUGUUGCUCGGACCGGUACGUACCUCAGAACCGCAGCAGGUCUCCAAGGUUAGCAGCCUCUUGUCACGCGGAAGUCAAUGUAGGUAAGGGAAGUCGGCAAACGCGAUCUGUACCUUCGGCACAAGGAUUGGCUCUGGCGACGAGUUGGCAGGCCCGUGCUUUCGGGCACGCGGCAGCCAGCGACACGUUAAGUUAGAACCGGCACGGACCGCCCGGGAAUCCGACUGUCUAAUUAAAACAGAGCAUCGCGACCGCCGGCGAUCGACGGCGGUGACGCGAUGUGAUUUCUGCCCAGUGCUCUGAUUGUCAACGUGACGAGAGUCGUGCAAGCACGGGUAAACGGCGGGAGUAACUAUGACUCUCUUCUGGUAGCGAAAUGCCUCGUCGUCUAACUAGUGACGUGCAUGAAUGGAUUAACGAGAUUCCCACUGUCCCUACGUACGGUCCGGCGAAACCACAGCCAAGGGAACGGGCUUGGCGUCGCCUGCGGGGAAAGAAGACCCUGUCGAGCUCGGCACUCAGCGGCCGUUGCGACGAGACGCGGGAGGUGUAGGAUAGGUGGGAGGUGCUCGCACCGACAGUGAAAUACGACCACAGUCRYRSGGGGCWAGGCACACAGGGAURG
rnacentral:rRNA from 1 species